UACAUGUUCACUUAAAGCCAAGGGACUUGCAUGAACAUAACUUAGGUUCAACCACCACAUAUCAGUCCUAGUGUUUCCUUGUUUAAUUGCUGAUUAUUUUUUUAGCAAAUCCAUGACCUGGACUGCCAUAUCAGUCAUUUUUUAGAUUGAUCCGUCAUGUAUGUCACUUUUNNNNNNNNNNNNNNNNNNNNNNUAUUUUAUUUUAUUGGUUUUGAUUCUAUUUUUGAGCAGUUUAUCUAAGGUUAAGUUAAUGUCCGAGCCUCAAAAGCUACCAAUAGGAGGAAAAAGAGUUCACAUAUCCCUUGCUUAGCUAUAUGUAAUUGGUAACUUAUUGCAAGAGUGAUUGUUUAUACUUCAGUUACCAUGUCAUUCAAAAUAGUUUUACAAUUUUAAUUUCGGCUUUGGCUCAACAAUCAACAUGAAUAUGAUUUUGUUGUUGUGCUGGAUAUUCCACUUGAUUUUAGAAGAGCAAAUGUAAUUGAGU
rnacentral:lncRNA from 1 species